AAGAGAGCGAGAGUGAGAGAGAGAGAGAGUGAGAGAGACUCUGUGUGUGUGUGUGUGUGUGUGUGUGUGUGUGUGUGUGUUCCAUAACCUGUUUCUUUAUCAACUAAGAGAUUGCUUUUCUUGUCUUCGAAAACUUCUGACAGGGUUGCCAUAAGGAUCAAAUCAGAUGGUAUAUUGGGAAAGGCUGUUCAGUGCAGUGGAAAGGAUGGAAGAGAGGAAAUCCCUGAAAUUCUACAUGGUGAAAAAAAUCGGGUAUUUCCCCAAGGAAAACUCAACUGAAUGAGAAUGUGAAAAAUGACAGUGCAGAGUUUAGAAGAGUGAGAAAGGAGGAAGAAUGAAUGGAGGCCAGAGUCAAUAAACAUUAUCUACUGUGGGCCAAGAAAGGAGGAAGAAUGAAUGGAGGCCAGAGUCAAUAAACAUUAUCUACUGUGGGCCAAGCUUCAUAACUUGGUCCAGGAGGAGCAGAAGAGCUUUUUCCAGAAGGCAAAAUAACUGAUAUUCUGAGGUCCCCCUCACCGUAUUACUUCCUUUUCAAUGAGCAACAAUGUGUAAGUGCCGGACCUGGAGGGCCAGAAGGGAAUCGUUCCUGCCAGGUCAACAACGCAAGAAAAGGACAUUAUGGACUCAUCUUGGGUGAGAAGUUUAACUUUUGUGGCUCCUUUUAUGACAAUUGCAGUUCCCCUUAUUCUGGCGGAACCAUUCCCUCCUGUUUUCCCUGAGGGCCAUCAGAAAGCCACCCGAGCUUGUCCUGACAACACUGACAGUAUUCCUCUGGAGAGGAUACCAAAAAUCCUUUCUGACCUGGACACAAGAUCCAAGACAUACCCCGAGAUGAUCUUCGAACCCUCCUCCAAAUGGGACCGUGGAGAAGCUCCUAAAGCUGAAGAAGAAACCCCAGUCAUUGCCAUUUAAGUAACCAUUGGUCAUACAAAGAGGUGAUCCAAAGUAUAUCCGUCCCCUCCCACAUUAUGCAAGACAUGCCCUGAAACUAUCUUUGAACCCUCCUCCAAUUGGCCCCAAGGAGAAUAUCCUCAACCCCAAGAAUUGACUCCAGCCUAUUCUCCCAAAUGCAGUGGUCCCUGGAAGAGGAGAGCCAAAGUCCAGCUAGCCUUGGACUCCCAUUCCAAACCCAUCUCUGAGGAUGGUCCCCAAGCACUUUUCCCAAAGCACCCAGAGAAAAUGUUGUGGAAAAUAAAGUCUAUUUUGGGGCUUUUGGAAAAUUUUCUGCUCUGGAGGACUGUAGGGAGGUGUUGGAGCAUAGACUAUUUAAGUUCCAGCUCUCCCAAUUUUCUCCACAAAUAGAACAAAUUUGUUUCUCAGGGUGAAUACAGACAUUUAAAUUAAAGGCUUGAAGUAGCACAGGCGUCUUCGAGACUGUUGAAUAGAGAGAAAAUGUGAAGAACUUACAGGAAUAUGUGAAUUCUUUUUCUGUAUUUUCAUUAUUUCUAUGUUUCCUCUAUGACCUGUAUAAUAUGUGCAGGCCCAUAUGUACUUGAGCCUUGGCCAGCUAUUUCUGAAGCCUGAAGGCCGGAUUUUCUGUUUCCUAGAAAUCAGGUGAUUUCAGGGAAACAGAAACCUUCCAUUCCAAUCUCUCCAGAUAGCAACAACCAAUUAGAUGCCUCCCCCUCCUCUUCUCAAUGCUCUUACUUGUAAUGUAAUCUCUUGUGUAAAAGCUAUGUAUUUUUACUACUUCCUUAGCCCUCCUACCGCGAGCUUUCUCUUUGACUUAUCUCGUGAUAGAAUGGCUUAUCCUCCAGAGGCACAAUAAACGACCUUUCUGCUUUCUUUUUUGAGUGAUCUCUGAGUAGUCAUUUUGGAUAAGGGUCUUCUAUAUCCCACACAGUUGGGAUAAGAUCUUUGGGAGAGAUGGCUCUGUGCACCCCAGACAGGGACAGGAGACCACGGAGUAGUUUUCUCCAUGGUCUCUGGUUCUGGGUGAGUAGCCUCUCUCCCCUCUUAGACAAUGGCCCAAGGCAGAGAUACUCAGUGGAAUGCAGAAUUAAAGAUUGAAGGAAGUAAAGUCCUGAUGGCCAGCAUUUGCAGCCUGAAAGACAUGUACAUGUGUAAACUCAAGAUUUUGGUCAAAUUACAGAUUAUUGAACCUCUUCUGAGACAUGUAUUGGCCCAUCUGAAGCUUAGAUUGACACCACAUCCUCACCCCUGCAUGGAUUGAGAGCCUUUACCCAUUUCUCAGCCUGAAGCAGCUUAGAUUGAGACCAUCGCCCUUGCUCCUGAUGUAAUUUGCACUGAUAUGGGGGAGUGGGAAAGUGGUUGAUAAAUUAUUGUUGAAAUUAUAACUGUAUUACUGUGUGUUUAAGAUUUGGGAUGGAAAUUGUUAAAUUGUGUAACUAUUGCUGUUAUGGAUGUAUAAGAACUUUGUAUGUGGGAUAGUUACCUGAUGCUUUAGCUUUGAAAUCCCUUAUUCUGUUGGAAUUGCUCUGGCAGACUAUUCUCUGAUUGACUGUUUUUAGGAAAUCUCCAAGAUAAAGACACCUGUCUUGGGAUUGGCGGUCUCCAACCUUGUAACCCCAGUUUCUUAAUUGGUAUCUCAGCAUUCUCAAAGGACAUUUCAAGCCUCUAAAGUUUAGGGUUUUCCUACCUUGAUGGUCUAACUGUGUAUGCUCUGGUAGCUCUGCUCAGAAAUCUAUAUUCUAGUAGCAAUCCUGUCUAUUUCUCUGGGUGAGGACAGGUGGAGCUACUCCAAGCCUCACCCUUCUCCUCUGGAGUGGGGUGUCCCUCUGAAUGGGCAGCAUGACUGUC